UACGUAGGGAGCAAGCGUUGUCCGGAAUCAUUGGGCGUAAAGCGCGCGUAGGUGGCCCUGUAAGUCCGCUGUGAAAGUCAAGGGCUUAACCCUUGAAUGCCGGUGGAAACUGUCGGGCUAGAGUCCGGAAGAGGCGAGUGGAAUUCCUGGUGUAGCGGUGAAAUGCGCAGAUAUCAGGAGGAACACCGAUGGCGAAGGCAGCUCGCUGGGACGGUACUGACGCUGAGGCGACGAAAGCGUGGGGAGCAAACAGG
rnacentral:rRNA from 1 species